rnacentral:rRNA from 1 species
UACGGGGGGGGCAAGCGUUGUUCGGAAUUACUGGGCGUAAAGGGCUCGUAGGCGGCCAACUAAGUCAGACGUGAAAUCCCUCAGCUUAACUGGGGAACUGCGUCUGAUACUGAUUGGCUUGAGUGCAGGAGAGGAACGCGGAAUUCCAGGUGUAGCGGUGAAAUGCGUAGAUAUCUGGAGGAACACCGGUGGCGAAGGCGGCGUUCUGGACUGCAACUGACACUGAGGAACGAAAGCCAGGGGAGCAAACGGG